rnacentral:rRNA from 1 species
GAGGGAAUCUUCGGCAAUGGACGAAAGUCUGACCGAGCAACGCCGCGUGAGUGAAGAAGGUUUUCGGAUCGUAAAACUCUGUUGUUAGAGAAGAACAAGGACGUUAGUAACUGAACGUCCCCUGACGGUAUCUAACCAGAAAGCCACGGCUAACUACGUGCCAGCAGCCGCGGUAAUACGUAGGUGGCAAGCGUUGUCCGGAUUUAUUGGGCGUAAAGCGAGCGCAGGCGGUUUCUUAAGUCUGAUGUGAAAGCCCCCGGCUCAACCGGGGAGGGUCAUUGGAAACUGGGAGACUUGAGUGCAGAAGAGGAGAGUGGAAUUCCAUGUGUAGCGGUGAAAUGCGUAGAUAUAUGGAGGAACACCAGUGGCGAAGGCGGCUCUCUGGUCUGUAACUGACGCUGAGGCUCGAAAGCGGGGGGAGCAAACAGG